AAAGGUUAAAUAAGGGCUCAUAAUCGGUUCAAUCAUGCGGUUGAGAAUAAGGAAAGCGAAAAUACAAUAAGCACAAGAUAAAACAAAAUAGAAAGAUGCGAGAAUUAGCGAUUGCGCUCUAAUUUGACUGAAAAAACAACGAACAAGCAAAAUCCUUUGAAAAUUGAGUUUUUUUUCAAGAUAAGGGUUGCAACCCCCAAGAUCAUUCACUAGAAUGCGCACCACUUAUGCCGACUUAGCUCAGUAGGUAGAGCAACUGACUUGUAAUCAGUAGGUCACCAGUUCGAUUCCGGUAGUCGGCACCAUUUUCUCCACUAGCAGUGAAAAUGGUCAAAAAUUUGGAGGGGUUCCCGAGUGGCCAAAGGGAGCAGACUGUAAAUCUGCCGGCUCCGCCUUCGAUGGUUCGAAUCCGUCCCCCUCCACCAUAUUCUUAAGGAAAUAGCUCUCAGAGUUACGUGUUGCGGGCAUCGUAUAAUGGCUAUUACCUCAGCCUUCCAAGCUGAUGAUGCGGGUUCGAUUCCCGCUGCCCGCUCCACUCAUUUUAGAGUGCUGAUAUAGCUCAGAUGGUAGAGCGCAUCCUUGGUAAGGAUGAGGUCGGCAGUUCGAUUCUGCCUAUCAGCACCAGCUCUAAGCCUCUAAGCAAAGUUUUCCUUUUGAUAUAUACUUUACUACCGAUAUUUUUUGGUUGCGUGGUCAUCUCAAAAGCCACCUAAAUCCGUACCUAGAGGGACAACUCAUGUCUAAAGAGAAAUUUGAACGUACGAAACCGCACGUAAACGUUGGUACUAUCGGCCACGUUGACCACGGUAAAACAACUCUAACUGCAGCUAUCUGUACUGUACUUGCAAAAGUAUACGGCGGUAAAGCUCGUGACUUCGCGUCAAUCGACAACGCACCAGAAGAGCGUGAGCGUGGUAUUACAAUCAAUACUUCUCACGUAGAGUACGAUACUCCAAACCGUCACUACGCACACGUAGACUGUCCAGGACACGCGGAUUAUGUUAAGAACAUGAUCACCGGUGCAGCACAGAUGGACGGCGGUAUCCUAGUUGUAGCGGCAACUGACGGUCCAAUGCCACAAACUCGUGAGCACAUCCUGCUGGGUCGCCAAGUAGGUAUUCCUUACAUCAUCGUAUUCAUGAACAAGUGUGACAUGGUUGACGAUGAAGAGCUUCUAGAGCUGGUAGAGAUGGAAGUUCGUGAGCUGCUGUCUGAGUACGAUUUCCCAGGUGAUGACCUGCCAGUAAUCCAAGGUUCAGCACUAGGCGCGCUAAACGGCGAAGCACAGUGGGAAGCGAAGAUUGUUGAGCUAGCAGAAGCACUGGAUACNUGGGCAGGUUGAAGGUUGAGUAACAUCAACUGGAGGACCGAACCGACUAAUGUUGAAAAAUUAGCGGAUGACUUGUGGCUAGGGGUGAAAGGCCAAUCAAACUCGGAGAUAGCUGGUUCUCCCCGAAAGCUAUUUAGGUAGCGCCUCGGACGAAUACUACUGGGGGUAGAGCACUGUUAAGGCUAGGGGGUCAUCCCGACUUACCAACCCUUUGCAAACUCCGAAUACCAGUAAGUACUAUCCGGGAGACACACGGCGGGUGCUAACGUCCGUCGUGGAGAGGGAAACAACCCAGACCGCCAGCUAAGGUCCCAAAGUAUUGCUAAGUGGGAAACGAUGUGGGAAGGCUCAGACAGCUAGGAUGUUGGCUUAGAAGCAGCCAUCAUUUAAAGAAAGCGUAAUAGCUCACUAGUCGAGUCGGCCUGCGCGGAAGAUGUAACGGGGCUAAGCAAUACACCGAAGCUGCGGCAAUGUCUUUUAGACAUUGGGUAGGGGAGCGUUCUGUAAGCCGUUGAAGGUGAAUCGUAAGGUUUGCUGGAGGUAUCAGAAGUGCGAAUGCUGACAUGAGUAACGACAAAGGGGGUGAAAAACCUCCUCGCCGGAAGACCAAGGGUUCCUGUCCAACGUUAAUCGGGGCAGGGUGAGUCGACCCCUAAGGUGAGGCCGAAAGGCGUAAUCGAUGGGAAACGGGUUAAUAUUCCCGUACUUCUGACUAUUGCGAUGGGGGGACGGAGAAGGCUAGGUGGGCCAGGCGACGGUUGUCCUGGUUCAAGUGCGUAGGCUUGAGAGUUAGGUAAAUCCGGCUCUCUCUAAGGCUGAGACACGACGUCGAGCUACUACGGUAGUGAAGUCAUUGAUGCCAUGCUUCCAGGAAAAGCCUCUAAGCUUCAGAUAGUCAGGAAUCGUACCCCAAACCGACACAGGUGGUCGGGUAGAGAAUACCAAGGCGCUUGAGAGAACUCGGGUGAAGGAACUAGGCAAAAUGGUACCGUAACUUCGGGAGAAGGUACGCUCUUGAUGGUGAAGUCCCUCGCGGAUGGAGCUGACGAGAGUCGCAGAUACCAGGUGGCUGCAACUGUUUAUUAAAAACACAGCACUGUGCAAAAUCGCAAGAUGACGUAUACGGUGUGACGCCUGCCCGGUGCCGGAAGGUUAAUUGAUGGGGUUAGC
rnacentral:rRNA from 1 species